rnacentral:rRNA from 1 species
AUUGAACGCUGGCGGCAUGCCUUACACAUGCAAGUCGAACGGCAGCAUGCUCUAGCUUGCUAGAUUGAUGGCGAGUGGCGAACGGGAGCGUAAUACAUCGGAACGUGCCCUGUAGUGGGGGAUAACUAGUCGCAGGAUUAGCUAAUACCGCAUACGACCUGAGGGUGAAAGUGGGGGACCGCAAGGCCUCAUGCUAUAGGAGCGGCCGAUGUCUGAUUAGCUAGUUGGUGAGGUAAAGGCUCACCAAGGCGACGAUCAGUAGCUGGUCUGAGAGGACGAUCAGGCACACUGGGACUGAGACACGGCCCAGACUCCUACGGGAGGCAGCAGUGGGGAAUUUUGGACGAUGGGCGAAAGCCUGAUCCAGCAAUGCCGCGUGAGGGAAGAAGGCCUUCGGGUUGGAAAGCACUGUUGGCCGGAAAGAAAUGGCUCUGGUUAAUACCUGGGGUCGAUGACGGUACCGGAAGAAGAAGGACCGGCUAACUACGUG